ensembl:lncRNA
GAGGCAGCACGUGUGCACUCACCUGCAGGCUCUGUUCUAGGCAGGCUUAUCUCUGAGCUGCCCACAGGAUGGAUGGCUGCACCACAGAUGCGCUAUUGCACCAAAAUUCACUCUGUAUUGUUACUGGCCACGUUCAAGCUACGCUCAAGGACAAGACCGUCUGAUACCGCCUAUUUUCAAUAACGUAGGACACAGAGGCUUUGCCUUUCAGCGUAGGAUCACUGUAGGACAGGGUGCUUACGAGAAGCACUCAGAUUUCCAUAUCUGUAGGAUACAUUUGAAAGCGUUCUUUAAAUGCUGAUUUCACCUGCUCAUGGUCUUUAAGGGACAGCCUGAGGGCAGAGCCCUCACUUAGCUGUUCAUUCGGUAAGGUCAUGGGGGCCGAUCCUCAGCGCUUCAGCUCUACCUGCUGGGGGGCAGUUCCCAUCUCUGGCUGCGGUUACUAACACCGAGCUCUGCUGUGAGGCAGCAGGGGCUGCAAAGCAGCUGGAAGGCAGUACAGUGCGUACCCCUGUUUUGCACCUAAGCCAAGGAGCUCACGAGGGAUCGAUACGUACUUUUCGGGGCGCGCCAGAUGGGUGAUGAAGCUUGCUGAGGGCUGCCUGCUAUCUAAUUCACUUCGUGUUAUUCUUACAAGUUCUUUGUUUUCCCGUAUCCCCAGUGCAUUUGACUCCUAACUGGUGCGUACAGGCUUCUAAGACUUCAUAUUCUCUUGGUUGUUUCCUGGCUCCUUUGACAUACGUAUGUAGGUCACUCCAAAAGUAAUGCCUCCUAUUUAUUUCCAUGGAAACUACAGUGGAUACAAAGAGCACAAGAGCGCUAGUUGUUAGAGCAAAUUCUCAGCUACAAAACACAAUUUUGCAACAUAGUCACCACCAUUAGCUAUGCAUUUUCACCAGUGAUGAACAAGAGCCUGCAUGCUGUGCUUGUCAAAGUCUUCAGCAGACGUGACCCACUGUUUCACAGCUGCUAUAACAGCAUCACUGCUGAAACACACCACC